CCUACGGGCGGCAGCAGUCGAGAAUCAUUCACAAUGGGGGAAACCCUGAUGGGGCGACGCCGCGUGGGGGAAUGAAGGUCUGCGGAUUGUAAACCCCUGUCAUGUGGGAGCAAAUUAAAAAGAUAGUACCACAAGAGGAAGAGACGGCUAACUCUGGGCCAGCAGCCGCGGUAAUACAGAGGUCUCAAGCGUUGUUCGGAAUCACUGGGCGUAAAGCGUGCGUAGGCUGUUUCGUAAGGCGUGUGUGAAAGGCGCGGGCUCAACCCGCGGACGGCACAUGAUACUGCGAGACUAGAGUAAUGGAGGGGGAACCGGAAUUCUCGGUGUAGCGGUGAAAUGCGUAGAUAUCGAGAGGAACACUCGUGGCGAAGGCGGGUUCCUGGACAUUAACUGACGCUGAGGCACGAAAGCCAGGGGAGCGAAAAGGAUUAGAUACCCCAGUAGUC
rnacentral:rRNA from 1 species